CAUUAGACAGCUAGAAGUUAGCUCAGGUCUCUUAAACCUUACUUUAAUAGAUUAACGCCUAUUUCUAAUGA
rnacentral:tRNA from 1 species